rnacentral:rRNA from 1 species
ACGAACGCUGGCGGCAUGCCUAACACAUGCCAGUCGAACGAGACCUUCGGGUCUAGUGGCGCACGGGUGCGUAACGCGUGGGAACCUGCCCUUAGGUUCGGAAUAACUCCCCGAAAGGGGUGCUAAUACCGGAUAAUGUCUUCGGACCAAAGAUUUAUCGCCUUUGGAUGGGCCCGCGUUGGAUUAGCUAGUUGGUAGGGUAAAAGCCUACCAAGGCGACGAUCCAUAGCUGGUCUGAGAGGAUGAUCAGCCACACUGGGACUGAGACACGGCCCAGACUCCUACGGGAGGCAGCAGUGGGGAAUAUUGGACAAUGGGCGAAAGCCUGAUCCAGCAAUGCCGCGUGAGUGAUGAAGGCCUUAGGGUUGUAAAGCUCUUUUACCCGGGAUGAUAAUGACAGUACCGGGAGAAUAAGCACCGGCUAACUCCGUG